AUACCACAUUAGGGUUUCAGGGUCUCUCAUUUCUUAUCCGCCUCCAUCUACUCUCUCCUUCUCUGGCGAUUCAAGAACUGCGCGAUUCCUCUUUAGAUCUGUGUUUGUUUCUUCUACAGAUCUAUGAUUCCUCUUCAGAUCUGCGCAAUUAGCCAGCUUCACACCCACCUUGUAGCCAUGAUUUCUGGUAGAUCUGAGCCACAUCAUUUUGCUGUACUUUUCAAGUCUUCCUCUUUCCUGAAGCCAUCUUCAUCACUAUAGAUGAUGAAAUAUCUCCAGUUUUGACGUAAAAUAAGAAAAGAUGUGGGGGAUUUUAAGGCAAAAAGCCGGAGGAGUUACCGGAUUAUCCUCUCAGGGUUUGGAGAAUCAGAUGUUGAGGUUAAGGCAUGUAGCAUCAGCUAUGAGAAGUUUUGCAGUACUUUUCGAGUCUUGGCUUUCCUAAAGCCAUAUUCAUCACUGUCGACGAUGAAAUAUCUCCGUUUGUAACAUUGGUUGAGUACACAACUUUAUCUUCAUCACUAUCGACGAUGAAAUAUCUCCGUUUGUAACAUUGGCUGAGUAAACUUUAGAGGAUUUUGUACAUGCUAUUACUCUUCCUCUUGCAAUCGAGACUUCUUGUGAAGGUCUAGAAUGGGCUAGCUUUGGUGAGUGUAACAGGUAUCACCUAUAGGGAAUGGGCAACUGGAGCUUAGUCUGCUUCGCUUAUUGGAGAUUUCAAUAGCUGGAAUCCAAAUGCUGAUGUUAUGACCAAGAGUGAAAAAUGGAUCCUAUCGCAUUGACAUAUGGCUGCUGUAUUGGGCCGCCAGUUUCAGCUUCAUAGAAGGCCCAUGUCAGUUGGGGUUAUGCUUGUUUGCGGUCCACAGGUGGCAGUUGGCCUAGCAAUGGCUGAAACUAAGGUUCAAGGCCCAGCGCUGGUUUAAUUUGCAGAUUAAAGAUAGCCAGGUACUCUCCCGUGGGACGAUCAUUCUAUUCUCCUGAUCUGGGUCGUAGACAACCACUCGGUGAGGGGUUGGACGAUCAUGAUCUGUUAAAAGUUUUGCCUGAUUGAUUUCUUUGCUUGAUUUGCACAUUUGGGGUGUUGCGACUGGUGGACUAAAAGAUCGAAGCGCGUUCGCACAUUAGAGUUGGACCGGAUUCGUAAGUCCAAGAGUGUUAUUGUCCGUGAGCUAGAUGGGCAUAACCGAUUGCUUGUCAAGAUUAUGACAUCAGAACAGGAUCGGGACUCUCUGCUGGAGCUAUAGCUGGUAUUGUAAUGCUUCUGUCGGGACGAAUCAUGCUUGGUGUUGGCAUUGGCUUUGGUAAUCAGAAUGGAGAAGAAAUGUGAGCCAUUGAAAGAGGUUGGUUCCGCCAAUUUUAGAGCAGCUAGGCUGGUUAAAGAUAAGACUAAGGAGUUGUUUGCGGUCAAAUACAUUAAAAGACAAUCAAAGGAAAUGAGUGAGAAUGUGCGCCUCUAACAAGUUCUUUGAUGGCUAUGGUGGUGGAGCUUGCCCGAUAGGAGGUUGAUCUUCUCCGACUGAUGGUUUAGUGGUUGCAGUCUUUAUGAUCAACCACAUUGACAUCACUUGUAGCAUAUUUGUUGUUAAAACUUAUUUCGAGAAGCUUUCUUUAGAUAUUAUCAUUUCAUACCAUAAGAAUUGAGGUCACAGGUAGAGGUGGAAAUACCAUUUCAACCCACUAAUAUGAAAACGAGAUUGGAUUAUGGUACAUGGAUGUGUACAAACCGAUACAUUUAGCAUCUGAUAUCAUUAUUGUUAAUAAGGUUGUGGAUAAACCUACUUUUGAUAUUUUUGAGAAAAUUAUUUAUGGUUUAAAUACGUUUUAGUAUAGAAAUUUUUGGUUAUAAAUGUUUUCGCCCCCCCCC
rnacentral:lncRNA from 1 species